rnacentral:misc_RNA from 1 species
GGUGAGGCUCAGAUAUAAAUAAGAAUACAGUAAAGGUAAUGCAAAAUACCCGCUUCACUAUUGCCCCAAACUUUGCAUUUUUCAGGUUUCCAGUGCCUCCGUUAAAAGUUACAUAUUUACUUCAAACACAACUUGAUGGUUUGGUGUAUCAUGAGUUCUCAAGUAGCUUGUGGAACUUCUGUACCCUCCUACUUGAAUCGCCACUCGAAGACCUUGACUGAUUGUGGCAUGAGCUAUUUCCAUGCAAACGUUUCCUUUUGCUAUUUCUACGAAAUAAAAAGUCCUCUGUAUCUAAAACGUACGAAACCUUUGACGAAUUGCAAGCAAUUUUACACUCCAG